CGUAACUCCUACGGGAGGCAGCAGUGGGGAAUAUUGGACAAUGGGCGCAAGCCUGAUCCAGCCAUGCCGCGUGAGUGAUGAAGGCCCUAGGGUUGUAAAGCUCUUUCACCGGUGAAGAUAAUGACGGUAACCGGAGAAGAAGCCCCGGCUAACUUCGUGCCAGCAGCCGCGGUAAUACGAAGGGGGCUAGCGUUGUUCGGAUUUACUGGGCGUAAAGCGCACGUAGGCGGACUAUUAAGUCAGGGGUGAAAUCCCGGGGCUCAACCCCGGAACUGCCUUUGAUACUGGUAGUCUUGAGUUCGAGAGAGGUGAGUGGAAUUCCGAGUGUAGAGGUGAAAUUCGUAGAUAUUCGGAGGAACACCAGUGGCGAAGGCGGCUCACUGGCUCGAUACUGACGCUGAGGUGCGAAAGCGUGGGGAGCAAACAGGAUUAGAUACCCCUGUAGUCCC
rnacentral:rRNA from 1 species